UGGUUUCUUCUUCUCAGCGUAAAUGAGAUACUUAAAGCUUUCUUUCUUUCCCUUAGUGAACU
rnacentral:tRNA from 1 species